rnacentral:rRNA from 1 species
AUUGAACGCUGGCGGCAUGCCUUACACAUGCAAGUCGAACGGUAACGGGUCCUUCGGGAUGCCGACGAGUGGCGAACGGGUGAGUAAUGCAUCGGAACGUGCCCAGUAGUGGGGGAUAGCCCGGCGAAAGCCGGAUUAAUACCGCAUACGACCUAUGGGUGAAAGCGGGGGACCGUAAGGCCUCGCGCUAUUGGAGCGGCCGAUGUCAGAUUAGGUUGUUGGUGGGGUAAAGGCCUACCAAGCCGACGAUCUGUAGCUGGUCUGAGAGGACGACAGGCCACACUGGGACUGAGACACGGACCAGACUCCUACGGGAGGCAGCAGUGGGGAAUUUUGGACAAUGGGCGCAAGCCUGAUCCAGCAAUGCCGCGUGCAGGAAGAAGGCCUUCGGGUUGUAAACUGCUUUUGUACGGAACGAAACGGCCUGGGUUAAUACCCUGGGCUAAUGACGGUACCGUAAGAAUAAGCACCGGCUAACUACGUGCCAGCCGCCGCCGUAA